UGGGGAAUAUUGGACAAUGGGCGAAAGCCUGAUCCAGCCAUGCCGCGUGUGUGAAGAAGGUCUUCGGAUUGUAAAGCACUUUAAGUUGGGAGGAAGGGCAUUAACCUAAUACGUUAGUGUUUUGACGUUACCGACAGAAUAAGCACCGGCUAACUCUGUGCCAGCAGCCGCGGUAAUACAGAGGGUGCAAGCGUUAAUCGGAAUCACUGGGCGUAAAGCGCGCGUAGGUGGUUUGUUAAGUUGGAUGUGAAAGCCCCGGGCUCAACCUGGGAACUGCAUCCAAAACUGGCAAGCUAGAGUACGGUAGAGGGUGGUGGAAUUUCCUGUGUAGCGGUGAAAUGCGUAGAUAUAGGAAGGAACACCAGUGGCGAAGGCGACCACCUGGACUGAUACUGACACUGAGGUGCGAAAGCGUGGGGAGCAAACA
rnacentral:rRNA from 1 species